GACGAACGCUGGCGGCGUGCUUAACACAUGCAAGUCGAACGGAAAGGCUCCAGCUUGCUGGAGUACUCGAGUGGCGAACGGGUGAGUAACACGUGGGUAAUCUGCCCUGCACUCUGGGGUAAGCCUGGGAAACUGGGUCUAAUACUGGAUAUGACCUUUCUCCUUAUGGGGUUUGGUGGAAAGUUUUUCGGUGUAGGAUGAGCCCGCGGCCUAUCAGCUUGUUGGUGGGGUGAUGGCCUACCAAGGCGACGACGGGUAGCCGGCCUGAGAGGGUGAUCGGCCACAUUGGGACUGAGAUACGGCCCAGACUCCUACGGGAGGCAGCAGUGGGGAAUAUUGCACAAUGGGCGGAAGCCUGAUGCAGCGACGCCGCGUGAGGGAUGACGGCCUUCGGGUUGUAAACCUCUUUCAGCAGGGACGAAGCGUAAGUGACGGUACCUGCAGAAGAAGCACCGGCUAACUAUGUG
rnacentral:rRNA from 1 species